CAGGGUACUCGAGUGGCGAACGGGUGAGUAACACGUGGGUGAUCUGCCCUGCACUUCGGAUAAGCUUGGGAAACUGGGUCUAAUACCGGAUAGGAACCAUCUUUAGUGUGGUGGUUGGAAAGUUUUUUCGGUGUAGGAUGAGCUCGCGGCCUAUCAGCUUGUUGGUGGGGUAAUGGCCUACCAAGGCGGCGACGGGUAGCCGGCCUGAGAGGGUGUACGGCCACAUUGGGACUGAGAUACGGCCCAG
rnacentral:rRNA from 1 species